rnacentral:lncRNA from 1 species
UGAUAAACUCCAAUUUAGUGUAUUUUAUGUAAAUAUUUUUUGUGUUAAUUUAGAGUAAUUAUUUAUUAUUAUAUAAAUAACUCACUUGAUUUGCACUAUAUUAUACAAAAGAGAAGAAAAGCUAAAAAAAUGCAAAUCUACUUUUUGAAUCACUUAAAGAUAAACAUUAUAUAUUUUAUACUAUUUAUUAUUAUUAUUAUUAUUAUUAUUAUUAUUAUUAUUAUUAUUAUGUGAAAAUGAAAUUAAAACAAUGUUACAGGUCCAAAAGAAAUCAAACACGAAGGAAUAUUAAAGGAAAGUAACAUGUGCCUUCUCAAGGGGUAAUUAGAGUCAAAAGUGGUGAUUAAAAGUGGAGUCUUAACAAUAACAAAAUUGAUUUGUCUUCCUUCUCAGUAAGAGAGGCGGCAGCAACACAAUGAAAAGGAUGGCAAGUUGAAAAAAGGUCUGACAAAGCUUAAAAUCAAGUGGAGCUUAAAAUCAAGUGGAUUAGCGGUGAUACAAGACUUAAUAUUGAAGAUUUGCGAAGGCGGCUAAGCAAUUGGAAGGCAAGGAGUAUAAAUAGAGCUCUUUGGUAAACACUGGGGGUAUGCUUUCUUAUGUUCUGUAACACAGCUGGGAGAGGAAAAUUGGAAAAGCUUUGGAUUGAAGAUUAAAACUUUGGAGCAACAUAUUUUCUUCAUUCUAGGGUUAUUUCUUACUCUUAAUUUCAUGAAUUCAACUUUUAUGUUGGUGUUCUUUUUGAUUAUGGAUAGCUAAAUACUAUUCUAGGGUUUAUGGUGAAUCUUGCAAUUAAAAUUCCUUUUGCUAUGUCUUAGCUUAUAUGUUCUAGUUUCUAAUUUAAAUUUCGAUAUUUUGUUCAAUUAAUGUUAUCCUAUUGAUUUUAUCACAUGAUUAGGAAUGAUCAAC